rnacentral:rRNA from 1 species
CCUACGGGAGGCAGCAGUGGGGAAUAUUGCACAAUGGGGGAAACCCUGAUGCAGCGACGCCGCGUGAGUGAAGAAGUAAUUCGGUAUGUAAAGCUCUAUCAGUAGGGAAGAAAAUGACGGUACCUGAGUAAGAAGCCCCGUCUAACUACGUUCCAGUAGCCGCGGUAAUACGUAGGGGGCAAGCGUUAUCCGGCUUUACUGGGGGUAAAGGGAGCGUAGACGGCAGUGCAAGUCUGGAGGGAAAGGCGGGGGCUCAACCCCCGGACUGCUCUGGAAACUGUACGGCUGGAGUGCAGGAGAGGUAAGUGGAAUUCCUAGUGUAGCGGUGAAAUGCGUAGAUAUUAGGAGGAACACCAGUGGCGAAGGCGGCUUACUGGACUGUAACUGACGUUGAGGCUCGAAAGCGUGGGGAGCAAACAGGAUUAGAUACCCUAGUAGUC